UUUAGUUCCGCGGCAGAAAACCCGUGUCACGAAUCCGCCGCAUCCACUCUCCCGCGGCAACACCCUAACCUUCCAAGGAACCGCUUCCCCUCCCCCCUCCCCCCUUCUCAGCGGGGUAUGGCUCCGUCGGUGAUGUCGGAUUUCUCGUCCUCGGCCACCGCCCGGCUUCUUCCCUUCCGGUGCACUGUCCCUAUCAGGGCUUUCCAAUUCCAGCCGUCGGUUUCCAUCCAACUGACGCCCUUGCGCCUGAACGCGUCUCGAUCGACCUUGUCGCGGUGCUGUAGUUCAUCUGCUGUCGCCGCAGUGGCAACAAAUACGGAUACUCUUGCCAAGGUUAUUGAUGGGAAGUUGGUCUCAAAGCAAAUAAAAGAUGAAGUUGCUGGGGAAGUAGCCGGUAUGAAGGAAGCAAUUGGUGUCGUUCCUGGUUUGGCAGUCAUUCUUGUGGGCUCAAGGAAGGAUUCUCAAACUUAUGUCCGCAAUAAGAAGAAGGCUUGUGAAGCAGUGGGUAUAAAAUCUUAUGAAGUUAAUUUGCCUGAGGACAGCACAGAGGAAGAAGUGAUUAAGCAUAUUUUAGAAUUCAACAAUGAUCCAUCAGUUCAUGGGAUUCUUGUUCAGUUGCCUCUCCCUCGUCAUAUGAAUGAGGAGAACAUUUUGAAUGCUGUUAACAUUGAGAAAGAUGUGGAUGGUUUCCAUCCGUUGAAUAUUGGUCGUCUUGCUAUGCAAGGUAGGGACCCCUUGUUUGUUCCUUGUACUCCUAAGGGAUGCAUGGAAUUAUUAUACAGGCAUGGAGUUGAAAUCAAGGGGAAGAGAGCUGUUGUUAUCGGCAGGAGCAAUAUUGUUGGAAUGCCUGCUGCAUUGCUGCUGCAAAAAGCAAAUGCAACCGUCAGCAUAGUCCACUCUCAUACUAAAAAUCCUGAGGAAGUUACAAGACAAGCGGAUAUUGUGAUUUCAGCUGCUGGGGUUGCCAACUUGGUAAGAGGCAGCUGGAUAAAGCCAGGGGCAGUCGUGAUAGAUGUCGGAAUAAAUCCAGUUGAUGAUGCAGAAAGCCCUCGAGGUUAUGGGCUGGUUGGUGAUGUCUGCUACGAAGAGGCUUGUACGGAAGCUUCCGCUAUCACCCCAGUUCCUGGUGGAGUUGGUCCGAUGACAAUCGCCAUGCUUUUAUCCAAUACACUUGAAUCUGCCAAAAGGAUACACAAUUUCAAGUGACACAACUUCAUGCCCUCUGAUCGACCUUCGCAAACGACACUUCUGAUGGAGUUACCAAGUUGUCACAAAGCCAUCCCUAUCCUUGCUGCGGUCGCCUGUCUCCUUUCCCUCUCUCACAGUCUCACCCAUAGCCUUCGCUCCGCCGCCCUCUCGUCCUUCUCUUGUUUCCUUCUGUUGGCGUCACCUUCUCUUGGCCGUCCUCCCAUCCUUUGGUCGCCUUCCAUCAUCUACUUGAGUUUCUCAUUUUCGAAUCUCAAUUUUACUUAUCGUUUUGUUACUUUGAUCAGAUUAUCGUUACAUUUUUUUGGGGGGGGGGGGUUGCAUCUUUUAUCGAUUCAAGAACUCCGUCAUUGAAUUGUAUUUUACUGCAAGUGGUACGUUAAAUUAACCUUUGUUCAGGACCGUACCUUUCUUCUGCA